CUUGAGAUAAAGGUGCAACUUCCUCCUACACUGGCAUUUCCUUAGGGAUAAGCAUCUUUCCUUAGGCUAGGAACUGAUUGCUGCACUCACCUUUGACCACCCAGCUCACCUGUGACCACUCAGCUGGAGACAACAGACUGCCACCCUGCUGCGUUCACUGAGACAGAAGACCUACCUGCUGUUUCCAUCAAUCGCUGUGCCGACAGAGCAGUCUCGUGACUAUUGUAAAACGGACAUUUCAAUCCUAUGUGAAACAUCCUCUCUGGGGGGUAUAUAACCACUCUGUGCACCCCACUUCUUUGGUGCCCUUUCUCCCUUCAUGAAGAAAGGCUGCAGGCUAUAAUCCUCAGAUUUAAGCUCAGAAUAAACUCACCCAAAUUUUCAUUUAUAGAUUGGUUAUGGAUUAUUUCCGUCGACACUUUUAUAUAAAUCAUACAUUUUUCGGUGAAAUUCCUCUUAACAAUUGAGUGACUGUAAUGUUUAUUAAUAUUUCUAAUUGCCAGUCCACAUUCAAAUUUCCAAAAUUGUUCCCAACGUCUUUCACGUUGUUUCUUCCAUGGAGAUUUGAGGGAGAACCACACAUUGCGUUCGGCAGUUAAGUUCGCGUUUAGCCCAGAACCUGGGCAGGAGAGACUACGCAGGACACCCGCUGACCGUCUAACAAAGAAGAAACAAUGGCUUCUCAAGGCGCAGAGGUUUGUGGGAAAUGUAGUCUUGAAUCCGGUUGGCUCACGGUGCAGCCGUCUGGGAAGACUCCGGGUUACAUCUGCGCAUGUGCAGGCCCUGACCCGCUGUCCUGCUCUUGAGCUCCCGGCCCAGGCGGGGCGCUGACGCUGGAGCCCUGGUUGUAUGGCUCUGGGGGGGACUGCGGGGAGGGGGACACAGCGGGGAUUUCCUGAGAGGAGUGGACUUGUGACCCAGAGCGCGGGAGCACCCAGGCCCAGGGACCCCCAGCCUCAGCCCUCAGUGCGGGGCUCCGGGGUGCAGAGCUUCAGAGCAGAGACAGAAGAGCCCAGAAGGAAGCGGGUCUGCACAGCCCCAAGCAGUUCUUGAUCCUCCUGACAAGAAUGAGCCCGACUUGGUGAUCCUACUACGUUCAGAAGCCAACACACUGUGACAAUGGGGAGUUUGAGCCAUCCUUUAGAGGAGCCAGGUGAGCUGGGAUGAGCUGCCGUGGCCCUAGGGCAGGCUGCUCAGGCAAGGCCGCUUUGUUGGAGAGCUUGUG
rnacentral:lncRNA from 1 species